UGAACUGUCCUUUCAAUUUCUAUAUCAAAAUUGGUAAGAAAAUUCAAAUUACUUCAGGUCAUAAAACACCUAAAUUGAAGUUAAAGAAAUAGCAACAAAGAAAAACUAGUUAGUGAAUACUAAAUACUAUAGAAAGAAAAUAAAAUGCAAAAAAACACAAAAACAAAAAUAAACAACAAACAAACGCCAUCCCCAGCACUGGCGCCAAAAACUUAGUCGGUUGUUUAACAUCAUAAC
rnacentral:lncRNA from 1 species